rnacentral:rRNA from 1 species
GACGAACGCUGGCGGCGUGCUUAACACAUGCAAGUCGAGCGGUAAGGCCCUUUCGGGGGUACACGAGCGGCGAACGGGCGAGUAACACGUGGGUGACCUGCCCUCAGCUCUGGGAUAAGCCUGGGAAACCGGGUCUAAUACCGGAUAUGACUCCAUGACGCAUGUUGUGGGGUGGAAAGCCUUGUGCGGCUGAGGAUGGGCCCGCGGCCUAUCAGCUUGUUGGUGGGGUGAUGGCCUACCAAGGCGACGACGGGUAGCCGGCCUGAGAGGCGGACCGGCCACACUGGGACUGAGACACGGCCCAGACUCCUACGGGAGGGCAGCAGUGGGGAAUCUUGCGCAAUGGGCGAAAGCCUGACGCAGCGACGCCGCGU